rnacentral:rRNA from 1 species
AGAGUUUGAUCCUGGCUCAGAACGAACGCUGGCGGCAGGCCUAACACAUGCAAGUCGAACGCCCCGCAAGGGGAGUGGCAGACGGGUGAGUAACGCGUGGGAACGUACCUUUCGGUUCGGAAUAACCCGGGGAAACUCGGGCUAAUACCGGAUACGUCCGCAAGGAGAAAGAUUUAUCGCCGAAAGAUCGGCCCGCGUCGGAUUAGCUAGUUGGUGAGGUAACGGCCCACCAAGGCGACGAUCCGUAGCUGGUCUGAGAGGAUGAUCAGCCACACUGGGACUGAGACACGGCCCAGACUCCUACGGGAGGCAGCAGUGGGGAAUAUUGGACAAUGGGCGAAAGCCUGAUCCAGCCAUGCCGCGUGAGUGAAGAAGGCCUUAGGGUUGUAAAGCUCUUUCAGCGGGGAAGAUAAUGACGGUACCCGCAGAAGAAGUCCCGGCUAACUUCGUGCCAGCAGCGGCGGUAAUAC